GAUGAACGCUGGCGGCGUGCCUAAUACAUGCAAGUCGAGCGAAUGGAUUGAGAGCUUGCUCUUAUCAAGUUAGCGGCGGGCGGGUGAGUAACACGUGGGUAACCUGCCCAUAAGACUGGGAUAACUCCGGGAAACCGGGGCUAAUACCGGAUAACAUUUUGAACCGCAUGGUUCGAAAUUGAAAGGCGGCUUCGGCUGUCACUUAUGGAUGGACCCGCGUCGCAUUAGCUAGUUGGUGAGGUAACGGCUCACCAAGGCAACGAUGCGUAGCCGACCUGGGAGGGUGAUCGGCCACACUGGGACUGAGACACGGCCCAGACUCCUACGGGAGGCAGCAGUAGGGAAUCUUCCGCAAUGGACGAAAGUCUGACGGAGCAACGCCGCGUGAGUGAUGAAGGCUUUCGGGUCGUAAAACUCUGUUGUUGGGGAAGAACAAGUGCUAGUUGAAUAAGCUGGCACCUUGACGGUACCUAACCAGAAAGCCACGGCUAACUACGUGCCAGCAGCCGCGGUAA
rnacentral:rRNA from 1 species